rnacentral:rRNA from 1 species
UACAGAGGGGGCUAGCGUUAUUCGGAAUUAUUGGGCGUAAAGGGCGCGUAGGCGGCCAUGCGUGUCUUCCGUGAAAUCCCUCGGCUUAACUGAGGACGUGCGGAAGAAACUGCAAGGCUCGAGUCCGGGAGAGGGGGGUGGAAUUCCCAGUGUAGCGGUGAAAUGCGUAGAUAUCGGGAGGAACACCUAUGGCGAAGGCAGCUCGCUGGGACGUUACUGACGCUGAGACGCGAAAGCGUGGGGAGCAAACAGG